GAUGAACGCUGGCGGCGUGCCUAAUACAUGCAAGUCGAGCGAACAGAUGAGGAGCUUGCUCCUCUGACGUUAGCGGCGGACGGGUGAGUAACACGUGGAUAACCUACCUAUAAGACUGGGAUAACUUCGGGAAACCGGAGCUAAUACCGGAUAAUAUAUUGAACCACAUGGUUCAAUAGUGAAAGACGGUUUUGCUGUCACUUAUAGAUGGAUCCGCGCCGCAUUAGCUAGUUGGUAAGGUAACGGCUUACCAAGGCAACGAUGCGUAGCCGACCUGAGAGGGUGAUCGGCCACACUGGAACUGAGACACGGUCCAGACUCCUACGGGAGGCAGCAGUAGGGAAUCCUCCGCAAUGGGCGAAAGCCUGACGGAGCAACGCCGCGUGAGUGAUGAAGGUCUUCGGAUCGUAAAACUCUGUUAUUAGGGAAGAACAAAUGUGUAAGUAACUAUGCACGUCUUGACGGUACCUAAUCAGAAAGCCACGGCUAACUACGUG
rnacentral:rRNA from 1 species